AGAGGAAGUAAAAGUCGUAACAAGGUUUCCGUAGGUGAACCUGCGGAAGGAUCAUUAAUGAUUGCGAAUGGUUGCCUUCGGUGCUGGCUCUUGCAAGUGCACGUUGGUGGCUUUCAUCCAAUACCCUUUGUGAACCUUUGGCCUCUUGCUAGCUUCGGCUGGCAGAGGAUUUUUACACACACUCGAAUGUAAUGAAAACUAUUGUCGUGCGCAAGCACUAAUGUACAACUUUCAACAACGGAUCUCUUGGCUCUCGCAUCGAUGAAGAACGCAGCGAAAUGCGAUAAGUAAUGUGAAUUGCAGAAUUCAGUGAAUCAUCGAAUCUUUGAACGCACCUUGCACCCUUUGGCAUUCCGAAGGGUAUGCUCGUUUGAGUGUCAUUGUACUCUCACACUUUCCGAUCCUAUGGAUUCGGGGAGCGGUGGACUUGGGUGUUGCUGCUUUCCUUGUGGCUCACCUCAAAUGCGUCAGUGCACCUCUUGGUUGGACAUAGUACGGCGUGAUAAGUGUCUUCGCCGGCACCUCGCAAGAGGGUGGCCGAUCGGGAGCUCUGUGCUUUCAAACCGUCUUCGGACAAUUUCUGACAACUUGACCUCAAAUCGAGUAGGACUACCCGCUGAACUUAAGCAUAUCAAUAA
rnacentral:rRNA from 1 species